ACUUGAAUAGUUUAUUAAGAAUAUUAACUUGUGGAGUUAAGGGUAUAAGUUUUUAUUUUAGGUC
rnacentral:tRNA from 1 species